CCAGUGAGUAGAAGCGGCUAGCAGUCGGUAACGAAGACACUUACCUUCUUGCGGGGCAUUGCUCGUGAC
rfam:Herbaspirillum seropedicae SmR1, complete genome.